rnacentral:tRNA from 1 species
GCCUGGGUGGCUCAGUCCAUUAAGCAUCUGACUUCGACUCAGGUCACGUUCUCAUGGUUUGUGGGUUCGAGCCCCGCAUUGGGCU